rnacentral:tRNA from 1 species
GACCCAAUGGCGCAGUGGUGCAGCGCCUGGUGGCUUUUUGCCCCAAUGGCGCAGUGGUGCAGCGCCUGGUGGCUUUUCGAGUUUGGCUAACUCGAAAGGUCGUCGGUUCGAAUCCGGCUUGGGUCG